rnacentral:sRNA from 1 species
UUUUUUUCAGUAAUGUCUUUGUAUCGCAAUUUUUUCUCGUAAAACUGUAUUUUUGUCAUAAACAGUUGUGUCUGUUAAAAUAUUGACGGUUACUUUUUCACAUUUGUGUAUUUUUAUCAUAAACAGUUGUGUCUGUUAAAUUGUUGACGGUUACUAUUUUACAUUCGUGUCUUUUCAUUGUAAACACUUGUGUUUGUUAAAAAAUUGACGAUUACUUUUUUUACAUUUCUGUCUUUUCAUUGACGGUUAUUUUUUACAUUCUUGUCUAUUCAUCAUAAACAGUUUUAUCUGUUAAAAUAUUGACGGUAACUUUUUGCAUUUGUAUC